CUCAACGGAGCGAAAGCAAAAGAGCGCGUCUUGGAGAAUGACCUCAGAGACGCCUUGAACGCGGCGAACGUCCUGGAAUCAGAGCUGUCUCAGGAGAGAAUAUGCAGCCUUGACAUCAGCAACAGGUUUGGGCUGGUUAUUUUGGAAAACGAGGAACUGACCGAGCUGUUUUCUCGCGUGGCGAAUCAAAACGAGGAACUUACCGACAUCAUUGAGACAACAAAGCGCAACGAAGCUGCGUUACAGGUCAAAGUUCAAAAGUUGGAAUCGAUUAAUAAAAACCUAACGGAAGAGUUGGAAUCUGCCAAAACGCAACAUCAGGCACAGCUUGAAGCCCACGUACAGAAAUAUACAAACUUGGU